AACUUGAUAAUAAUUGUCUUGCUGUUACGAAUGGUACCUCAUCAAGUAAUCUCAUGCAUUUCUGGUAAGAUGCACUUUGAAGACUUUUACAGUGGAUAGGAAAACCCAAGAGCCAAGAUUCUGGAUGCUGCCUGGAUCAUCCCAGAAUCUUCCAGCUCCAACAUAUGCUGCCAACAAUAGGAAUUUACAUAUGUUCUUCAGAGGAUAACAAUGUCUUCCAGAAGUCAGUGACUGGGGCAGGCCCAUUUCACCAAGCUGUACAGGUAGGCCAGGAGUCCACGAUGUUCUUCAACGUCAUGUCCAUGAGUUAAAUGUGUCAGUGCUUACUGUUGGAGAAGAUGAGGUUGAGAACAUUGUAAAGUACGUGUUUGGAGUACAUACAAGCCAUCAGUCAAGCAGGAAGACAGUGUGGUCCAUGUUCUACAGUGGGGAAACUCCACUGUAGAACGGAGGGGAAGCAAGAAACAAAGGGAGAGAAUUUCAACCCCAGAGAUCCCCAAAAGAGUUUUAGGGACCUCAGGAGGUCCCCAGGUAAUACUUUGAGAAAU